GACGAACGCUGGCGGCGUGCUUAACACAUGCAAGUCGAACGCUGAAGCUCAGCUUUUGUUGGGUGGAUGAGUGGCGAACGGGUGAGUAACACGUGAGUAACCUGCCCCCUUCUUUGGGAUAACGCCCGGAAACGGGUGCUAAUACUGGAUAUUCACUGGUCUUCGCAUGGGGGUUGGUGGAAAGGGUUUUUCUGGUGGGGGAUGGGCUCGCGGCCUAUCAGCUUGUUGGUGGGGUGAUGGCCUACCAAGGCUUUGACGGGUAGCCGGCCUGAGAGGGUGACCGGUCACAUUGGGACUGAGAUACGGCCCAGACUCCUACGGGGGGCAGAAGUGGGGAAUAUUGCACAAUGGGCGCAAGCCUGAUGCAGCGACGCCGCGUGAGGGAUGGAGGCCUUCGGGUUGUGAACCUCUUUCGCUCAUGGUCAAGCCGCAACAAUGGUUGUGGUGAGGGUAGUGGGUAAAGAAGCGCCGGCUAACUACGUG
rnacentral:rRNA from 1 species